rnacentral:rRNA from 1 species
UACGUAGGGUGCAAGCGUUGUCCGGAAUUAUUGGGCGUAAAGAGCUCGUAGGCGGUCUGUUGCGUCGGCUGUGAAAACCCGGGGCUCAACCCCGGGCCUGCAGCCGAUACGGGCAGACUAGAGUUCGGCAGGGGAGACUGGAAUUCCUGGUGUAGCGGUGAAAUGCGCAGAUAUCGGGAAGAACACCCGUGGCGAAGGCGGCUCUCUGGGACGGUACUGACGCUGAGACGCGAAAGCGUGGGGAGCGAACAGG